ACGAGUUAGGGUCUUCCAGGCCCGACCUCCCAACCCUGUGUUUACUGAACCUCUGUUGCUUCGGCGGACCCGCCUCACGGCCGCCGGAGGAUCGCCGCGAGGCGUCCUCUGGCCCGCGUCCGCCGGUGGCCAACUCCAAAACUCUUGAAUGAAUCGUGUCAUAUUCUAAGUCUAUGAUUAAAUUAAAGCA
rnacentral:misc_RNA from 1 species